rnacentral:rRNA from 1 species
AAAGGAAUUGACGGGACCCCGCACAAGCAGUGGAGCGUGUGGUUUAAUUCGAAGCAACGCGUAGAACCUUACCAGGGCAUGACAUCAUGGUGCCAGCUGUGGAAACACAGUCUUUCGUAGCAAUACGAACGCCAUGACAGGGUUGCAUGGUUGUCGUCAGCUCGUGUCGUGAGAUGUUGGGUUAAGUCCCGCAACGAGCGCAACCCCUAUCAUGUGUUGCCACCGAGUGAAGUCGAGCACUCACAUGAGACUGCCGGAGACGAUUCGGAGGAAGGUGGGGAUGAGGUCAAAUCAUCAUGGCCCUUAAGUCCUGGGCUACACACGCGCUACAAUGGCCGGUACAACGGGCAGCGAAAGGGCGACCUGGAGCGAAUCCCUUAAAGCCGGUCCCGGUUGGGAUCGCAGGCUGAAACUCGCCUGCGUGAACGCGGAAUUGCUAGUAAUCGUGAAUCAGCUACGUCGCGGUGAAUACGUUCCCGGGGUUUGUACACACCGCCCGU